CAUUUCUUCUCCACCUGGGGCUUUUUCUAGUUUCUAUCUGUUACGAAUGAGCUGUUACAAACCAAAGCAUUCUUAGAAACAUGCAGUGGCUACCACUUACACUAGUUCUAAGUAGAAGCUCCUUAACGUUACCUCACAGGCACUGUGUAACUUAGCUUUCCUUACCUCUUCCUUGGUCUCACCUCUUGCCACUCUAAUUUUCUUAACCUUACUGUUCUCCAGUCUUAUUCCUUCCAGGACCCUGAAGCUUCCAUGCCACGCCCACGUUAGCCUUUUGCAUGCAAUCCCUGCAGUGAGAACACUGUGUCUACUGGUUGCCUGGCACGUCUUGCUCAUGUUCCUCUACUUAUUACAGUGUGUCUCUGGGCCUGUACUUAUAACCUCUCAGGCGUGAGUGAACAAUAGUUCCCUGUUUCCACGGGGUAUAUAUUCCUUUCUCUUGCAUUCGCUAUCUAGUUUUUCCUCUCUCCAUUAUCCAGAUUCUAUAACAGUAGCAAAAGGAAUUGAAAAGAGAUAGACCUUUCCCUACAUGGUGAGAGAAUGGGGAGGAGUCUUUAUUUUCCCUGCUAUCUCUAACUAUUUUUCUCUCUCCACCCAGUCUCCUGGUUCUCUAACAGCAUAGCCUGGAACCAGGCUGAAAUAGACUCAAGAAUUCUUGGGUCCUCCCAGGAGUAGGGACAUUCAUGUGUUAAUUCUUACUGAGUGGGUCCUACGUCUGCAGGACCUUCUAUUAGGUCCUAGGAAAGUCGCAAAGUGAGUUAUGUGAGUAAUCCCUCCUCACAAGGAAUUCACAAUCUCACCAGCGUGACUGGAUGAAAUCACAUGAAGUAGAUUUCAAGGAAGAAAACCAACAGACAGUGAGAAGGAGCGCAGCUGUACACCCAUGAAUAGCUUAAGGGCUUCCUGGAUGUUGCGUGUACAGCAGGAACAGAACUGUGGGGAAACCAGAAAAAGUCUCAUGGAAGAGGACUGAGCCCUCUGGAGGCUUUAUCUCUUUGCAUAGCUAACAGGGAGAGAUCAGCUAGCUGAAUGCUGCCUGUUUUCAUUGGCGUGACCCAGCCUACUUCCGACACAUGCCCAGAACUACAUUCGUCCUUGAGAUUGAAGCCAGACAUUUAAGACUGCCGAGCAUAUAUCAGAAUUUACUCCUUUGACAUUGAAAACAAAGAAGAAUUGGAGCCC